rnacentral:tRNA from 1 species
GUCCUCAGUAGCUCAAUGGUAGAGCGGUCGGCUGUUAACCAGUUGGUCGUAGGUUCGAAUCCUACGAAGAUG